AACGAACGCUGGCGGCAUGCCUAACACAUGCAAGUCGAACGAGGCCCUUCGGGGUUUAGUGGCGCACGGGUGCGUAACGCGUGGGAAUUUGCCCUUUGGUUUGGAAUAACAGCUGGAAACGGCUGCUAAUACCGGAUGAUGACGAAAGUCCAAAGAUUUAUCGCCAGAGGAUGAGCCCGCGUUGGAUUAGGUAGUUGGUGGGGUAAAGGCCUACCAAGCCGACGAUCCAUAGCUGGUUUGAGAGGAUGAUCAGCCACACUGGGACUGAGACACGGCCCAGACUCCUACGGGAGGCAGCAGUGGGGAAUAUUGGACAAUGGGCGCAAGCCUGAUCCAGCAAUGCCGCGUGAGUGAUGAAGGCCCUAGGGUUGUAAAGCUUUUUUACCCGGGAAGAUAAUGACUGUAACGGGAGAAUAAGCCCCGGCUAACUCCGUGCCAGCAGCC
rnacentral:rRNA from 1 species